rnacentral:rRNA from 1 species
AGGGCACCACCCGGAGUGGAGCCUGCGGCUUAAUUUGACUCAACACGGGGAAACUCACCCGGCCCGGACACCGAAAGGAUUGACAGAUUGGUAGCUUUUUCUUGAUUCCGGGGAUGGUGGUGCAUGGGCGGUCUUAAUUCGGGGAACGAUUUGUCUGGGUUAUUCCGAUAACGAAACAGACUCUAGACUACUAAAAAUAACCACAAUUGCCUCGGGGGGGGGGACUUUGUAGAGUGACUUACGGAGUAAAGCCUCCGAAAAUUGACAAUAAUCAGGUCUGUGGUUGGCAUUACAUGUCGGGGACUGAAGGCCCGACUACCCUUGACAUUUCGCGGGUCUUGGCCUUCCCGCAAGGGCGAGGGACCCCCCCAAGAAAAUAUGCCCGAACUGGGAUUGGAAAUUCCGUUUUUUUCCCUUCAAUCAAGAAUUCCAAUUUGCGGUGAGGCUCCAGUCCAAUUUUGCCGUUCGCCCUCGCCCCUGUCCCCCAAACCCCGGCCCCCGCCGCCUCUAAACAAUUUU